rnacentral:rRNA from 1 species
UAUACGAUCGUCAUGGACAAUUGAAACGAAUCAUGUUGGUGAAUAAAGAAGGAAGGGUAUUUGAAGAGAUUCAAUC